GUCCUACGGGAGGCAGCAGUGGGGAAUAUUGCACAAUGGGGGAAAACCUGAUGCAGCGACGCCGCGUGAGUGAAGAAGUAAUUCGUUAUGUAAAGCUCUAUCAGCAGGGAAGAAAAUGACGGUACCUGAGUAAGAAGCCCCGGCUAACUACGUGCCAGCAGCCGCGGUAAUACGUAGGGGGCAAGCGUUAUCCGGAUUUACUGGGUGUAAAGGGAGCGUAGACGGCAGUGCAAGUCUGGAGUGAAAGG
rnacentral:rRNA from 1 species